rnacentral:rRNA from 1 species
AGGCCAACUGGUGCCGUCCCUUCGGGCGCCGGCCCGCUGCCCCGUCGGUGCCGUGCUUUCCUCCUGGAGCUGACGUCAGUCGCCGCUACCCGCUGGCUGCCACUGUUUCUUCCCCCCACCGCCCUGUGCCCCCCCGCCCGUGGCCGUCUCCGGUGUGCCGCCUGCCCGGUGCCGGCCGGUUCCUUGCUGGGGUCCGCGCCCGCGCCGCUCCUGCUCGACGCCCCGGUCCCCGGCGGCCGUCCCUCUACCGGUCCUCCGGUCGCGACCUUCCUUGUCGGGUCCGUUCCGCCCUGCCCGCCUGGCGUCCUGCUGGCCCGGCUGUCUCCCCCCGCGCCUCAGUGAAAUUGAACUCGCUGUGAAGAUGCAGUGUACCCGCGGCACGACGGACCGACCCCGUGACACUUUCCUCUCUCUUUCCCCUGCCC